ACGCACGCUGGCGGCGUGCUUCACCCCUGCCAGUCGCACGGAAAGGCCCUGCUUUUGUGGGGUGCUCGAGUGGCGAACGGGUGAGUAACACGUGAGUAACCUGCCCUUGACUUUGGGAUAACUUCAGGAAACUGGGGCUAAUACCGGAUAGGAGCUCCUGCUGCAUGGUGGGGGUUGGAAAGUUUCGGCGGUUGGGGAUGGACUCGCGGCUUAUCAGCUUGUUGGUGGGGUAGUGGCUUACCAAGGCUUUGACGGGUAGCCGGCCCGAGAGGGUGACCGGCCACAUUGGGACUGAGAUACGGCCCAGACUCCUACGGGAGGCAGCAGUGGGGAAUAUUGCACAAUGGGCGGAAGCCUGAUGCAGCAACGCCGCGUGCGGGAUGACGGCCUUCGGGUUGUAAACCGCUUUCGCCUGUGACGAAGCGUGAGUGACGGUAAUGGGUAAAGAAGCACCGGCUAACUACGUG
rnacentral:rRNA from 1 species